rnacentral:tRNA from 1 species
UGCAUCGGCCGGGAAUCGAACCCGGGCUGCACCGUGGCAGGCGAGCACUCUACCACUGAACCACCGAUGC